rnacentral:rRNA from 1 species
UACGUAGGGUGCAAGCGUUGUCCGGAAUUAUUGGGCGUAAAGAGCUCGUAGGCGGUCUGUCGCGUCGGCUGUGAAAACCCGGGGCUCAACCCCGGGCCUGCAGUCGAUACGGGCAGACUAGAGUGCGGUAGGGGAGACUGGAAUUCCUGGUGUAGCGGUGAAAUGCGUAGAUAUCUGGAGGAACACCGGUGGCGAAGGCGGCAUCCUGGACCAAUUCUGACGCUGAGUGAGCGAAAGCCAGGGGAGCAAACGGG